ACUCUAUCCAGUGCUAGAUUAGUUGUGUGGUGGGAUUUUGAAUAGUUCUGUCUGUCUGGCAUCUUUUUUCCUAUCUAUUUUCAGAGCUUCGUCCUCCAGAGUUCUUGGCAAUUAUAAUCUCAGAAGACUUUUGGGAACAAUUGGCGUAAUGGAGAAAACGGGAACCGUGGAGUCAAAGAGCCAAGUUUGCAUCCUGGAUCUGUGCACUUACUGAGACACAAAUGAUCUACAACCCUGUGUACAUGCAAGGCGUACAACGUGAUGAUUUGAUACAUGUAUGUAUGGAGAAAUAAUUACCAUGAUAAGAUGAGGACCCAAAAGCAUAGGUCAUUGGUGACCUGCCCGGGACCAGACCACUGGUGGGAGCCAGGACUGACACCGUGAGAACAAACCCACAGAGAACUACAUUCCCCAGGCUUCCUUGCCAAUAGCUCUCCAGGUGGCAUUAGCUGAUAGGAGGUACUGGUGUGAACUUGGGUGUGAGAGGAAGGAAGAAGCCAACCUCUCUGGCUCAGCUGAAAUGGCGUCAGCUCUACUGGGUCCCCGAUAAGUGUCUACAGGGCUGGUCACAGAGUAUUGCCAAGAUGGGGUCCUACUGGGAGCUUCUUGGUGAGGUCUGGGGACAAUGGGAGACCAAGGUAGCAGAUGAGCAAAUGGGGACCUCAGAAGGCGAGAUGCCAUGCCCUGGAGGUCCGUGAAAGGAAAGAGGAUACAGGAAGCGUGUUCUUCACAGUUUUCUUGUUUGGGCCUCAAAGAUUCCAGCCAAUUGCCUUUUCCUAUCUCUACCAUCCAGCGAAAUCUACUUAGCUCCCCCAACUGCUUGCCAAAGUCAGACAAAAUCAUCAGAACUUCCAGAAGGUGGA